GCACGUCGUUCUCCUGCUCGUCCUGCGAGGUGUCUUGCAGGCCGUCAUGCAGGCCACACUGACGGUAACGUUGCAGGUCGUCUUGCAGGGCUUCUCGCAAGACGACAUCUUCAUCACCCACGACG
rnacentral:pre_miRNA from 12 species